AUACGUAGGUGGCGAGCGUUGUCCGGAAUUACUGGGUGUGAAGGGCGUGUAGGCGGGGAUGCAAGUCAGAUGUGAAAUGCCGGGGCUUAACUCCGGAGCUGCAUCUGAAACUGUGUUUCUUGAGUGUCGGAGAGGAAAGCGGAAUUCCCAGUGUAGCGGUGAAAUGCGUAGAUAUUGGGAGGAACACCAAGGGCGAAGGCGGCUUUCUGGACGAUAACUGACGCUGAGGCGCGAAAGCGUGGGGAGCAAGCAGGAUUAGAUACCCUGGUAGUCCACGCCGUAAACGAUGGAUACUAGGUGUGGGAGGUAUCGACCCCUGCUGUGCCGGAGUUAACACAAUAAGCAUCCCACCCGGGGAGUACGGCCGCAAGGUUGA
rnacentral:rRNA from 1 species